GAAAUGGAAAUUGUGCAUCUUCUCUACAGUAUGCUAGUUGCAGGUACACGUCAGCUUUUGGCCUUGAGAUUGAGCUUGUGAAGCUAUCCAGAUAGCAGGUGCAAAGGAUUACGUAUUGAAUAAGCCACAAGGAAGAAGUAUGGAGAAAUCAAAAUUAUGAGAUAUAAGCUUGUAUUAAAGUGGUCAUCAAGAAUGUUUCAUAGUAACAACAAGGAAGACAGAUAUCCCAUGGGAAGAAGUCAAGAUUUAGAAAGUAAAUUGGUUUUAGAUGUUAAGAACAUGUAAGCUUUUUAUGGAUUUCCCUCUUCCCAAAGAAUGAGAUAAUAGGUACCAAAGAGAUUCUACAUUUGUUUGAUGUAUGGUUUCUGGGAUGUCACAAAGCAAUAUAAUGUUAAUGUUAAAGGUGGUUUUUGUGUGCGCACACACUUCAGAAAAGAUAAAUCAUAGGCACUUGACAUUUAAAUGGAGAUAAAAUAAAGAUAAUUAGAAGUGAGGAGACCUACAAAUAUUUGUGAACUGUGGAUUAAUUUGACACAUUUCAAAAACAGAUAAGGGAAAUUAUUAUUAUUAUUAAUUUGAUUUAUUGCAUUUUAUUACUAAUAUGAAAUUAUCUAAACACAUUCUCCCUGCAGUGAAGAUUCAACACAUAUGAAAUCUGUCAAAUAAGUCGUCUGCAAGUCCCAGCUAACUGCAUGCAAAAUAUAUAAUAGUUAUAUUUUGCCUAUUUUAAACCCGAUACAAAAAUCCUAGCAUAUGUUGAAUGGAUUAUCAUCAGUGAAAGACACAUAAAUGGUUGCCGGUUUAUCUUACCACCUUUUAUAAUGAGUUACUGGGCUAUUUUUGAACCACAUUAAGAUAACUUUAUUCCAAUGUCUAUCAAGACAAUUAUAGCAAUGCACAAAGUCAUUCUACUGAGGCACCAUAUUGCAAUUGUAUGAUCAUUCAUUUGGAUGGAAUGUGUGAAUCUAUGGAGGAUAGUAACAAAGAUUAUUGAGGUCAGAUAUCCCAUCAUCUCUAACUAUUGGCCAUGCUGGCUGAAGCUGAGGGGAGUUGGAGUCAAACACUAUAGAGAAGGACAAAGGUUCCCCAUACCUGUUUUAGAUUCUGGAUACAAUCCCCCAAAAUAUAUUUAUUUAUUUAUUUAGGGGAAAACAAAUCCACACUGAAAUAAAUCGGGCUUGCUGCUUUUUGUUUUAUUGUCGAGUAUUAGCAUUACUUCUUCUUCUUCUUCUUCUUCUUCUUCUUCUUCUUCUUCUUCUUCUUCUCUUCUUCCUCCUCCUUCUUCUAAUAUUACUUAGGAGCUUGCUACUGAUUUAAGUUUUUCUAUAUACUCCAGUUAAAGAGAAGCAAUCAGCUGAAUCAAAACAUCAACCACUCUCUUGACAAUGUAUCAUAUUAUUUUGACAACUAAUUAUCAUUAUUGUACAACAUAAAGUGUGAUAGAUGUUUACAAGUAAACCAGAGGUUGAAUCUCUCUAAAGAUAUGAUCAAAGCAAUAAAGCUGAUACAUUUAUGGUGUGACAACAAAGGAUAGGCAAGAGCAAAAUGAGAAAGAUUAAAACAGU